GAUGAACGCUGGCGGCGUGCCUAAUACAUGCAAGUCGAGCGGACAGACGAGGAGCUUGCUCGUCUGACGUUAGCGGCGCACGGGUGAGUCACAUGUGUAUACCCUACCUAUCUGACUGGGAUCAUUUCGGGAAACCGGAGCUAAUACCGGAUAAUAUAUUGAUCCGCGUGGUUCAUUAGUGAAAUACGGCUUUGGUGUCUCUUCUAGAUGCAUCUGCGCCUCUUUAGCUGGUUGGUAAGGUAACGGGCUACCAAGGCGAGGAUGCGUAGCCGAGCUGACGGGGUGGUCGCCCGCACGGGAGGGGGGACACGGUCCAGACGACUGCGGGAGGGAGCAGAAGGGAAUCGUCCGCAAUGGGCGAGAGCAUGACAGAGCGGCGCCGCGUGAGAUAUGGCGGUCUUCGGAUCGUGAAGCUCUGUUAUGGGGGGAGAACAAAUGUGUAAGGAACUAUGCACGUAUUGACGGUAACGAAUCAGAAAGCACCGGCUAACUACGUG
rnacentral:rRNA from 1 species